CUUCCGUCAGUAUCUGCCGUCAGUAUCUGGUCUGACCUUCACGUGACUCCAGACCCACAGCAAUGUGGUGGGCUCUUAACGGCCCUCUGGGGCAAUUAGGGAUGGGCAAUAAUAGCUGGGCCAGCUAGUGACGCCCAUGUCAUGCGGAUGAACAAAACUAAACAGCCGAUGGAAUCCUUCAACGUUACCACUGCAGUAACUGACGGCCUGCUACUUAACAAAAAGAUUUAAAGCAGCCAGGUGAUCCUCCCACCAUGAACCAGGUUAGAGGGAGGCUGAGUGACCAACACUGGCCACGGCACUGCCAAUAAUGCCCCGACACCUGUCCCCAGGAGUGGGAUAUUCCCAUCCCUCUGAUACAGCAGAUCCUUCCUCGGCUUGCCGCCCCUUCACGAACAGACUCCGUCACACGGGAUUCACAGACCGGUCGCCCGCCGACAGAGAGCUCCCUUUCACACUGACCCCCUGACGGGGCAGACCCUCCCUCACGUACUGACCCCCUGACGGGGCAGACCCUCCCUCACGUACUGACCCCCCAAUGGGGCAGACCCUCCCUCACAUAUUGAACUCUGACUC